rnacentral:rRNA from 1 species
AGAAUGACUCUCGGCAACGGAUAUCUAGGCUCUUGCAUCGAUGAAGAACGUAGCGAAAUGCGAUACUUGGUGUGAAUUGCAGAAUCCCGUGAACCAUCGAGUCUUUGAACGCAAGUUGCGCCCGAUGCCAUUAGGUUGAGGGCACGUCUGCCUGAGCGUCACAU